rnacentral:rRNA from 1 species
GGAUUAGGCAUGCAAGUCGCGCGCGAAAACCUUCGGGUGAGUAAAGCGGCGCAAGGGUGAGUAACACGUAAUCAACCUACCCCUCAGAUCGGAAUAACCACUGGAAACGGUGGGUAAUGCCGAAUGGCCCUAUACCGGGACAUCCCGGAACAGGUAAACGGUGGCUACGGCUGCUGCUGGGGGAGGGGGUUGCGGCCUAUUAGCUUGUUGGUGGGGUAAUGGCCCACCAAGGCGAUGAUGGGUAGCCGGUCUGAGAGGACGACCGGUCACACUGGGACUGAGACACUGCCCAGACUCCUACGGGAGGCUGCAGUCGAGAAUCUUCCGCAAUGGGCGAAAGCCUGACGGAGCGACACCGCGUGCAGGAUGACGGCCUUAGGGUUGUAAACUGCUGUCACGCCAUAGGAAUGGCCUAUCGUUAAUAGCGGUAGGUUUGACUAAAGCGAAAGGAAGCACCGGCUAACUCCGUGCCAGCAGCCGCGGUAAUACGGAGGGUGCAAACGUUGUUCGGAAUCACUGGGCAUAAAGAGCACGUAGGCGGUCUGUUAAGUUGGGUGUGAAAUCCCUCGGCUCAACCGAGGAACGGCACCUGAUACUGACAGGCUAGAGGACGGUAGGGGCAAGUGGAACUCCAGGUGGAACGGUGAAAUGUGUAGAUAUCUGGAGGAACGCCGGUGGCGAAAGCGACUUGCUGGACCGUAUCUGACGCUGAGGUGCGAAAGCUAGGGUAGCGAACGGGAUUAGAUACCCCGGUAGUCCUAGCCGUAAACGAUGGGCACUAGGCAGGGGGAGUUCCUAUGAUUCUCUCGGCCGUAGCUAAUGUGUUAAGUGCCCCGCCUGGGGAGUACGCUCGCAAGGGUAAAACUCAAAGGAAUUGACGGGGGAUCACACAAGCGGUGGAGCAUGUGGUUUAAUUCGAAGCAACGCGAAGAACCUUACCUGGCCUUGACAUAUACGGAUUAGUCCUGUGAAAGCAGGGUGACAGCCCUUCGGGGUCGGAACGUAUACAGGUGUUGCAUGGCUGUCGUCAGCUCGUGUCGUGAGAUGUUGGGUUAAGUCCCGUAACGAGCGAAACCCUUGUCGUUAGUUGCCAGCGGGUAAUGCCGGGGACUCUAGCGAGACUGCCGUUGUUAAAACGGAGGAAGGUGGGGACGACGUCAAGUCAUCAUGGCCCUUAUGGCCAGGGCGACACACGUGCUACAAUGGUCCGUACAGAGGGUUCCAAGACCGCGAGGUCAAGGCAAUCCCAAAAAGCGGGCCCCAGUUCGGAUUGCAGGCUGCAAUUCGCCUGCAUGAAGCCGGAAUCGCUAGUAAUCGCGUAUCAGCCAUGACGCGGUGAAUAUGUUCCUGAUCCUUGUACACACCGCCCGUCAAGCCACGGAAGCGGGGAGCGCUCGAAGUCGUUGGCCCAACCUUCGGGAGGACGGCGCCGAAAGCGAGCUCCGUGACUGGGACUAAGUCGUAACAAGGUAGCCGUAGGGGAACCUGCGGCUGGAUCACCUCCUUUCUAACGGAUAUGUUAGACCAUCAGUUGUUCCUCGGAGGAGCUGGUGGGCAAUGCGUAGGACGCACACUCGGUAGACGAAGGUCACCCUUUCUUUCCACACUGUACUCGGGAGCCCCAUGGGACCCGUUUUCAGCGCCAUGACAUGUGGACCUCGGGCCUGUAGCUCAGUUGGUUAGAGCGUCCGCCUGAUAAGCGGGAGGUCACAGGUUCAACUCCUGUCAGGCCCACCACCUGAAACUCUACGCUAUCCACCGGCCUGGUACCGGGGGCGUAGCUCAGUUGGUAGAGCACCUGGUUUGCAACCAGGCGGUCGUCGGUUCAAAUCCGGUCGCCUCCACCAGGGCCUGGCCAGUGCUGAAGAAGUCAGAUGUGGAACGCCCGAACAGCGCCGCCUAUCGGCGGCGUGUUCUUUGUAAACGAAGGUGGAAUGGGAAUGUGAAGUGGCAGCACGCUAUAUUUCGAAUGAGCGUGGAUAAGCUACUAAGAGUGAAUGGUGGAUGCCUUGGUGUCCAGAGCCGAUGAAGGACGUGGCAUAGCUGCGAUAAACUUCGGGGAGCCGCUAAGCAGGCUGAGAUCCGAAGGUGUCCGAGAUCGGGAAACCGACCGGGAUUCAUCUCCCGGUGCCGUGCGAACGGCGGGAACGCAGGGAACUGAAACAUCUAAGUACCUGCAG